UUCAGAAGUGUUCCUUGUAGAAGUUGAAGCCAAAGUGUUCGCACUGAGCUUUGAUGACUUUGGCCAACGCUGGAGAACCGCAGUAGAACACGUGAACUUUUCCUUUGUUCUCCUCGGCAAUUUUCUGGAACACCUGAUCGAAGCGACCUGCCGAAGAAGACGUCAUUGAGGUCGCGAGGUCACACCUCAGACGCGGCAAUGGCGGUCACCUUCGGGCUCCCCAUCGGCCUGGUCCAUCUCCAGUUUGGUCAGGAGGCUGACAAACCACUCGAAGGACUUCUGGUCACGGUUGAUCCAGAUGAAGUCAACCUGAGAAAGCGCCAAAAACGGACGUUUGCUCCAAGUGCUGUCCAAAGUUGACCGUUGUCAUUUACCGUGGACUUACUUUGCGAAGCUUCAUUUCACUAUCCUUAAUGUUCUCACACCACGAGUAGUUGCAGUUGGGACAAUUCUGCUUCCUGCGCCGGUACCUGGAAACCCACGAGCGUGUUGGUCUCGUGAAGGACGUGGCAGCAAGGCGCCGGGAGCGAGAGCAAGUCACCUGUACAUGAUGCUCUGCAGGAUGGAGGCGAAAGGCGUGAUGCCGAUGCCCGCCCCGAUCAGAACAGCGUGCUCGGACGUAAAGAUCUGUCUGGUGGGCGUGCCGUAGGGUCCGUCCACGUAGCACUGUCGGCCGGCACGAAGCAGGUCACAUGACUGCCGUGCCAACGCGAGCGGUUUGCUCACCUUGAUGUUGCAGAAGCGGUGAUUCUCGCCAAACUUGGCAGAAACCUUCAAGCACACAAAGCGAGCGGCGUCAGUGGGUGUCGCCAGCCCAUUGCUCAUCAACACUCACUUGAUCCACCUCUCUCGGGGGCGGGGCCUCGCCUCUCUCCGCUGGGCCCGGAUCGUCCGAAGGGACGGGAAGAGGCAGCGAGAUGGCGGCGGCGGGGGAGGCGGCGCCGCUCCGGGAGCCGUUGUGACGGUACAUGAUCAGCUCCACUGCAUUGUCCUCGUUGGACGCCACCGCAGCGUCGGCGUGUGCCGAGCUGAACGACUCUUCCUGCCGAUACGUGCGAUAAUGUCAUCAGCUUUUACCUUCUUUCAGACUUCUGGGUGUAUUUCACAAAGCGACAACAUGGCGCCUCUGUGACAGCACUGAGCCUUUUCCCACCUGAGUCUUCAUCAUCUGUCUGCUCCGCAGGCUCGCCGCCAGCCUCCUGGGACUCGGCGCCGGAGUCUGCGGCUGGCGGAAAUACUCGUACAGACGAUUGGUCCACUGGCCCAUGGAGCGGAUGUGCAGCCACAGACUGUCUGCACACACACGCACACACACGCACACUCAACUUGGCCUCCCUGCCAGAGGAGAAGUGCAAGUAGACAGAAAGGAGGUCACACCAGCUUGCUCCGGAGCGCUGCUGAUGGUGAACGGGUGCCACUCGUACUUGGCGAUGACCGGAAUGUUGAUGUACACGUAAUCUCCCGGCUUGAAUUGGAAGAACUGUGGACGCUUGAUGACCAGAUGAGUCACCUGCAGAGCCAGAGUCAUCAGAGACCUCAUGAGGUGAGGUCAGACGGAGGUCACGCAUGGGUCAUCCAUCACCUUGGACGGCAGCAGGUUGACCUCCACGAUGUACAGACCUCCCAUACGGGACACGGCGAUUCCGAUGAUCUUCUCCAGCAGGAAGAGCAGACCCGGAACGACAAACCACUUCCAGAAGUUGGCGCAAUGGAUCAUAAGCAGUGACCACACCCACACGUAGGACAAGUGAGACCAGUAGAACACCUGCCGCAUACCGGACUUUAUAUAUAUAUGGAAGUCAUCUUGAAUUUUUGUUCCUUUCCAAUGGCGGCAAGGGUGCGUCCUCUACUGACCAAGUAAUGCUAUUGCGGUGCGCUUACUUCAAAAUGUCCACUGCGUCGAACGAAGGUGCUGGAGCAGAGCCCCAUGAGGCAGAUGACCACCUGAAGGACGACGCCCGUCACAGAGGCCGUGCCCUUCACCCAGCCGAUGCCGGGCCGCGUGGUCAGCAGGUACUCCCACACGCUGAAUCCGCUAUGCUGGGAGAGCUGAGCUAAAAGACACACAGGUGGCGUCGGACCGCUUGGAGGUUGAGUAUUGGCAAGCGCCUUACCAAAGUUGAAGAUGUGGGCGGUGGUGUGCACGAGCGUGUAUCCGACGAUGGCGUAACCCACAAUCUGAUGCAAGAGAAUGUUCUGGUCCAACGGCAGAACCCGGACCACCCAGGUGGCCCGCAACCACGUGAGACAGCGGCGCAGCAUCAAGACCUUGAAGGACACGCACGCAGAUGAGGCGCAUCCGACUUCCCGGCAGUCUGUACUUGGCAUUACCAUGACAAAGGUGCAGUUGAAGUUGAGGCACUGUCCGCAUCCUUUGGCCAGCAUGUAGCAGGCGCUCCCGUGGCGAUGCUGCAGGACGGCGCCGACGAAGAGCGCCAGGCUGAGGCAAGCGUAGCCGCACAGGAACAGGAGCUUGCGACUGUUGUUUUGCCAAUAUGCCCACGUCAGGUAGCGAGGGGUCUGACGCUUCUUCUGCUCCGCUUCCGGAGGUUUGAGCCAGUUUGCCGCGCUUCAGCAAAAAUGAUUCUGGAGUGAGUACGGGCGGGCCAGGAGCGGGCCGCCGGGCCGCACCCACCUGAUGGUCAGGUUCUCCAUCACCUCUGGGAAGUCUUCCAGUUCUGCUUUGAGCUCCUCAAAGGUGAUGGCGCCGCUGCGGUCUUUGUCGGCCGACUCAAACAGUGCCAGCGUCAGGUCAUCCAGUUUCUCCUCCGGCAGAGAGAUGGCGCUCUCGCGCAGGCACGACUUCAGAACCGUGCGCAGUUCGUCCGGAUCGAUAGAACCGCUCCCUGCGUGGAAGGUCGCAGAUGACGUAACAACGGCUUCACGUCGAUCUCGUUGGCCCAUUUGGUUUCGGUGGUGCCACUCACCAUCCACAUCGUAGACCUGGAAGAGGAACCUAAGCUUGUCCGUCUCGCUACCGUGGAUGAGAAGGUCCAGCGCCUCCAGAAGCUCAUCCAGGCUGAUGGAACUGCUCCCGUCCGAGUCGAAGAGCGCAAAGAAGCGCUCGGCGAAGAAAGACUGUGGCGGAGGUGGGCAGAGGGGGGGUCACGUGACACAUAGAGGGUCGAAUGAUGCCGGACCAACCUCUUUGACUUUGAGAGCCGUCUUGAACUCAUCCAGGUCGAUCUCCUUGUCGUCCCCGGCGAUGCUCUCAAACUGCUUGGUCACCCACUCCAGCCAACGUGCAUCCUCGUCCGCGCUCAUUGCCGACACCCGCCGCGUCCGUUAUGGACUGCGAUGCUACGCCCGACGCCAGCCAAAGUCAAAGUCACGUCGAGAUGGUCGGUCAUGUUUCUGCAAAAAGAGUUUUUACCUGCUGUUGCGAGUCUUCCUUAGCUGCCACUGAAUCUUGGUCAUCUUCAUCGUCAGCUGGCGGUGACAGCCUCCCCUCCGCCACACGGGCUCAUCCAAUAAGAUGGACGUGGAGGCGGGCUCUUACGUGCGAAUGUGCGUG